GCUCCUAAUACAUAUGAUGAGUCAAGUAGGAUGGGAGAACCGGAAUUUAAUCUAGGGCUGGGGUGUCAGAGCGCCUCAGAGGGCACCUCUGUCCUGAGUCUUAGGGGUGAGCAGGAGUUUUCCGCCAGAAAGGAAGGCAACAGGAAGGUAGAGGCAUGGAGCGGAGAAGGGGCACAUCGCAGGGCAGAAGGGAAGGCUGCGAAGCAGACGGGGGAGGCGGAUGUGGAGGACACCGACAAGCGGGCUGGGGUCAGACUGGGAGGGCUUCACGGCCCACAGGACGAGCAGGUGGCAGGGAGCCACAGGGGAGGUUUCUGCGGAGAGGAAUAACAGAACCUGGCUUGUUUUGUUUUUAGGACUACCCUGGAGACAGUGAAGACACUGGCUGGAGAUUGGAAGGGAUUUCCAGCACAGAGAGCAGUCUGACUGAUGGAACCAGCUCAGCUGAGGUCCUCUUUGGGAACUGCUGCUAAGACAGCAGACUCAGCAUCACAAGCAUGAUCACUGCUAUCAGAGAAGGCUAAGACGGUGGUCAAAUGCAGCUGCCUGUUCCUCAAAUGGUCCUAAAUGCUUUGGAAAUCAAGGCAGGAAGACAGAAGUUUGGACAUUGCUUCCUUUCAUUCCUCAGUCACCGAGAUGAGGCUGGGAAGAAGGUGUGAGGGCGCUGCUAAGGAGACUCAGGGGAACAGGAGUCCACAGAGGGAGGAGCUUCAUGCUGCCUGCUGGCUGGUCCUGACCCCACAGCCUAAGCCUUUGACUCAGCACCAGGGCCUCGCCAUCUUCAUCACCCACAACACUGUGUUUCAAGCUUUCAAAUCUCUCUUCUCUGUUCUUCUCUGUUAUUUGCUGUUGAAAAAAACUGUAAUCAUGGCUGGUAAACAUAGUGUUAGUGAAAAACCACAUCAAAAGGAAGGAAAAAUUUGCAAGUUUCAAGUGAUGUUAGGCAUACUUGAGAAUCAGAACCAUGCACAUGAAAAGACCCUGAAGUAGGACAUCCCUUGAGAAAUAUUAGAAGUUUCCAUCUACCUCUCUCUCUCCUCAAAUCAGAAGUUUUCUUUUAAAAAGGGAACCCUCCUACACUGUUGGUAGGAAUGUCAAUUGAUGCAGCCACUAUGGAAAACGAUAUGAUGGAGUUUCCUCAAAAAACUAAAAAUAGAGCUACCAUAUGACCCAGCAAUUCUACUCCUGGGUAUAUAGCCAGACAAAAUAUUAAUUCAAAAAGAUACAAGCACCCAUAUGUUCAUAGCAGCACUAUUUACAAUAGUCAUCACAUAGAAACAAUCUAUAUGUUCAAUGACAAAUGAAUGGAUAAAGAUGUGGUGUGUGUAUAUAUAUAUAUAUACACACACAAUGGAAUAUUACUCAGCCAUAAAAAGAAUGAAAUGCCAUCUGCAACAAAAUGGAUAGAACUACAGCUUAUCAUAAGUGAAGUAAGUCAAAAGGAGAAAUGCAAGUGCCAUCUGAUAUCAUUUCUAUGUGGAAUUUAAAAUAUGGCACAAAUGAACUUACCUACAAAACAGAAACAGAUUCACAGACACAGAGAACAAACGUGUGGUUGCCAAGAAGGUGGAGAGGUGGGGGAGAGACGGACUGGGAGUUUGGGAUUAGCAGAUGGAAGCUACUAUAUACAGGAUGGAUAAACAACAAGGUCCUACUGCCCAGCACAGGGAGCUACAUUCACUGUCCUGUGAUAAAUCAUCACGGAAAAAAUGAAAAAUAAUGUAUAUAUAACUGAACCACUUGGCUGCACAGUAGAUAUUAACACAACAUUGUAAAUCAACUAUACUUCAAUAAAACAAACUCAAAAAAUUAAACCUGUUGCUCAGUAAAAAAUUCAUUGUAAAAAGAACACUUCUAUUGAAUAACAUGUUCUCUUUCUUAGUAGUCUCCCUUGAAAUAUUAUACUUGUGAUAUAAUUUUUACUUUGGAUUUUAAUUAUCUGUGAAUCCAUUCUAUUUUCUUUAUUAAAUCAUAAAUUCUUAGAGGGAAGGAUCAAUGUCAGGUUGGUGUGUGCAAUAUUCACCGUGCACAGUAGGCAUUCAAACACUGAAUAAAAGAAUGGAUGUUUUAU
ensembl:lincRNA